rnacentral:rRNA from 1 species
UACGAAGGGGGCUAGCGUUGUUCGGAAUUACUGGGCGUAAAGCGCACGUAGGCGGAUAUUUAAGUUAGGGGUGAAAUCCCAGGGCUCAACCCUGGAACUGCCUUUAAUACUGGGUAUCUCGAGUCCGAGAGAGGUGAGUGGAAUUCCGAGUGUAGAGGUGAAAUUCGUAGAUAUUGGGAGGAACACCAGUGGCGAAGGCGGCUCACUGGACCGGAACUGACGCUGAGGCGCGAAAGCGUGGGGAGCGAACAGG